GAUGAACGCUGGCGGCGUGCCUAAUACAUGCAAGUCGAGCGAACAGACGAGGAGCUUGCUCCUCUGACGUUAGCGGCGGACGGGUGAGUAACACGUGGAUAACCUACCUAUAAGACUGGGAUAACUUCGGGAAACCGGAGCUAAUACCGGAUAAUAUAUUGAACCGCAUGGUUCAAUAGUGAAAGACGGUUUUGCUGUCACUUAUAGAUGGAUCCGCGCCGCAUUAGCUAGUUGGUAAGGUAACGGCUUACCAAGGCAACGAUGCGUAGCCGACCUGAGAGGGUGAUCGGCCACACUGGAACUGAGAAACGGUCCAGACUCCUACGGGAGGCAGCAGUAGGGAAUCUUCCGCAAUGGGCGAAAGCCUGACGGAGCAACGCCGCGUGAGUGAUGAAGGUCUUCGGAUCGUAAAACUCUGUUAUUAGGGAAGAACAAAUGUGUAAGUAACUAUGCACGUCUUGACGGUACCUAAUCAGAAAGCUACGGCUAACUACGUG
rnacentral:rRNA from 1 species